rnacentral:lncRNA from 1 species
GCUUGAAGACUGACGAAAAGCUUCAAUUUUUGAGUCAAGAGUUCCAGAGGCCUUACAUUUUCAACGGACAUUUAUCAGUAGCCCCUGCAAGGAAACCCCAUCGCGUCAGAACAGGUGCCGCGCCACGGCUGACGAAGCCUCCAUUUUGAAUUAAGACUUCUUGAUUGAGGUCAUAGGCCUAAAUUUACAACGGACAUUUAACAGAAGCCCCUGCAAGGAAACCCCACUGCCUCAGAACAGGUGCCAGGGCUGACGAAGCCUCCAUUUUGAAUUAAGACUUCUUAAUACAGUAAUUGAGGUAAGAGCAAACUUAUGUCCAGCGUGUAUUCAUGAAAAUGUUUGUUAAAUGAGUAAAAGUACCAAUUAAGGUCACCAAAAUCUGCCUUGUGCACAUUUAUCAUACCUACUUUCUCUUACGAUGUAGAACUAAAGCUCAAAAAAGGCAAUGAGACGUAUAAAAGAGAUGGUUCUC